rnacentral:rRNA from 1 species
UACGGAGGAUCCAAGCGUUAUCCGGAUUUAUUGGGUUUAAAGGGUGCGUAGGUGGCUUUUAAGUCAGGGGUGAAAGACGGUAGCUUAACUAUCGCAGUGCCUUUGAUACUGAAGAGCUUGAAUGAACUAGAGGUAGGCGGAAUGUGACAAGUAGCGGUGAAAUGCAUAGAUAUGUCACAGAACACCAAUUGCGAAGGCAGCUUACUAUGGUUAGAUUGACACUGAGGCACGAAAGCGUGGGGAGUCAAACAGGAAUU